rnacentral:rRNA from 1 species
UACGAAGGGGGCUAGCGUUGCUCGGAAUCACUGGGCGUAAAGCGCACGUAGGCGGAUCUUUAAGUCAGGGGUGAAAUCCUGGAGCUCAACUCCAGAACUGCCUCUGAUACUGGGGAUCUUGAGUCCGGAAGAGGUAAGUGGAACUGCGAGUGUAGAGGUGAAAUUCGUAGAUACUCGCAAGAACACCAGUGGCGAAGGCGGCUUACUGGUCCGGUACUGACGCUGAGGUGCGAAAGCGUGGGGAGCAAACAGG